rnacentral:rRNA from 1 species
CCUACGGGAGGCAGCAGUAGGGAAUCUUUCACAAUGGGCGAAAGCCUGAUGGAGCAACGCCGCGUGCAGGAUGAAGGCCUUCGGGUUGUAAACUGCUUUUAUAAGCGAGAAAUAUGAUGGUAACUUAUGAAUAAGGAUCGGCUAACUACGUGCCAGCAGCCGCGGUCAUACGUAGGAUCCGAGCAUUAUCCGGAGUGACUGGGUGUAAAGAGUUGCGUAGGUGGCAUAAUAAGUAGCUAGUGAAAUCUGGUGGCUCAACCAUUCAGACUAUUAGCUAAACUGUUAAGCUCGAGACCGUUAGGAGUAACUGGAAUGUCUAGUGUAGGAGUGAAAUCCGUAGAUAUUAGAAGGAACACCAAUAGCGUAGGCAGGUUGCUGGGACGGUUCUGACACUAAGGCACGAAAGCGUAGGGAGCAAACGGGAUUAGAUACCCGGGUAGUC